rnacentral:rRNA from 1 species
GAUGAACGCUGGCGGCGUGCCUAAUACAUGCAAGUCGAGCGAACGGACGAGAAGCUUGCUUCUCUGAGGUUAGCGGCGGACGGGUGAGUAACACGUGGAUAACCUACCUAUAAGACUGGGAUAACUUCGGGAAACCGGAGCUAAUACCGGAUGAUAUUUUGAACCGCAUGGUUCAAAAGUGAAAGACGGUCUUGCUGUCACUUAUAGAUGGAUCCGCGCUGCAUUAGCUAGUUGGUAAGGUAACGGCUUACCAAGGCAACGAUGCAUAGCCGACCUGAGAGGGUGAUCGGCCACACUGGAACUGAGACACGGUCCAGACUCCUACGGGAGGCAGCAGUAGGGAAUCUUACGCAAUGGGCGAAAGCCUGACGGAGCAACGCCGCGUGAGUGAUGAAGGUCUUCGGAUCGUAAAGCUCUGUUAUUAGGGAAGAACAUAAGUGUAAGUAACUGUGCACAUCUUGACGGUACCUAAACAGAAAGCCACGGCUAACUACGUG